AGCACUUAAAUGACAUUUUGCAACCACAGCAACAUCAGCAACAACAGGCCUUAUAUAUCUUCUAGUUGGCAGUUGGCUCAAUAGAUCAAUGAGAAACUCCAUAAACCGUUCACAAUAUAGGACAGAGGCAUCGUUUACACCUUCAAAAUCACUUGUGAAAUUUAAGUCACUAUCGACCUCAUCGUCUGGCUGAGGAAAAAUUUUGCAAUCAAGAACCUCAAGAAACUCCUCAAUUAAAUGUCUCAGGAAAUUCACUUCUAGCAUGGUUGAGGUAUCAAAAGAUUCACCUCUCUUAGCUGCCUCCUUGGCUCUUUUUGCAAUUUUCUUCCAUUUCUUGAUAAGAUCAGGGUUAACACAGAGCUCCAUCUGAAAUCGACCAUAU
rnacentral:misc_RNA from 1 species